rnacentral:rRNA from 1 species
AUUGAACGCUGGCGGCAUGCCUUACACAUGCAAGUCGAACGGCAGCACGGGAGCUUGCUCCUGGUGGCGAGUGGCGAACGGGUGAGUAAUACAUCGGAACGUACCCAGUAGUGGGGGAUAACGCACCGAAAGGUGCGCUAAUACCGCAUACGACCUAAGGGUGAAAGCGGGGGACCGUAAGGCCUCGCGCUAUUGGAGCGGCCGAUGUCUGAUUAGCUAGUUGGCGGGGUAAAAGCCCACCAAGGCGACGAUCAGUAGCUGGUCUGAGAGGACGAUCAGCCACACUGGGACUGAGACACGGCCCAGACUCCUACGGGAGGCAGCAGUGGGGAAUUUUGGACAAUGGGGGCAACCCUGAUCCAGCAAUGCCGCGUGUGCGAAGAAGGCCUUCGGGUUGUAAAGCACUUUUGUCAGGGAAGAAAUCUUUUGGGCGAAUACCCCGGAAGGAUGACGGUACCUGAAGAAUAAGCACCGGCUAACUACGUGCCAGCAGCCGCGGUAA